rnacentral:rRNA from 1 species
CUGCCAGUAGUCAUAUGCUUGUCUCAAAGAUUAAGCCAUGCAUGUCUCAGUACAAGCCAUAUUAAGGUGAAACCGCGAAAGGCUCAUUAAAUCAGUUAUGGUUCCUUAGAUCGUACCCACAUUUACUUGGAUAACUGUGGUAAUUCUAGAGCUAAUACAUGCAAACAGAGCUCCGACCGGAGACGGAAGGAGUGCUUUUAUUAGAUCAAAACCAAUCGGCGGCAAUUGGGUUUACUUAAUUGUUCGUCGCACUAUUUGGUGACUCUGAAUAACUUUUGGCUGAUCGCACGGUCUUGCACCGGCGACGCAUCUUUCAAAUGUCUGCCUUAUCAACUGUCGAUGGUAGGUUCUGCGCCUACCAUGGUUGUAACGGGUAACGGGGAAUUAGGGUUCGAUUCCGGAGAGGGAGCCUGAGAAACGGCUACCACAUCCAAGGAAGGCAGCAGGCGCGCAAAUUACCCACUCCCGGCACGGGGAGGUAGUGACGAAAAAUAACGAUACGGGACUCAUCCGAGGCCCCGUAAUCGGAAUGAGUACACUUUAAAUCCUUUAACAAGGACCAAUUGGAGGGUAAGUCUGGUGCCAGCAGCCGCGGUAAUUCCAGCUCCAAUAGCGUAUA